GGGGGCAUGUGCACACUCUGUUUACACAUCCACUCACACCUGUGCACCCUCUGUAGUUCUAUGGCGUGGGGGGCCCUGCCCUCCUGCUGUGGUUCUAUGUCUUUACACACACACUGUGAUGAAGUCUCAUGGAAUGUACAUCGCGUUUAACGCAAUAUAAUACAACUUUCAGCAACGGAUCUCUUGGCUCUCGCAUCGAUGAAGAACGCAGCGAAAUGCGAUAAGUAGUGUGAAUUGCAGAAUUCAGUGAAUCAUCGAAUCUUUGAACGCACCUUGCGCCCUUUGGCUAUUCCGAAGGGCAUGCCUGUUUGAGUAUCAUGAACACCUCAACUCUCAUGGUUUUCCCAUGACGAGCUUGGACUUUGGGGGUCUUGCUGGCCUAUGGUCGGCUCCUCUUAAAUGAAUCAGCCUGCCAGGGGUUUGGGGGCAUCCCAGGUGUGAUAACUAUCUACGCUUGUGGUUUUCCGCAAGUA
rnacentral:rRNA from 1 species